rnacentral:lncRNA from 1 species
AGAACAGGAUAUCCCCCUUUCAAAGGUAUGUCAACUUGUCAUCUAGUCAGUUUUAUUUCGCAAUCCCAUGAAAUGGGUUAAUUAUUGCGGUUAUCUGGUCGUCAUGGUUAUUGAUGUCACAGACGGUCUGUUCGGGGUAAAAUCAUCUUCAAUGACGUCACAGGUGAACCCUUUUAAUCAAACCUUUCAAUGAUAUGAACUUAACAGAAGUGACACAGAUUGCCAAUAUAACUCAACAGUGAUGUGAAUGUAUAUUUUGAAGAACUAAAUAUGAGAAUGUUAGGUUAUUUAUUUCUCGUAUUUGUAUUCCACAGGAAUCUCAGAGAACACUCGAAGCACCAAUUACUACAAGGCAAUUAUAAACAAGAACUGAUUGAUGGUUACAAAAACUUAGAAUUUAACGGAUCUCAUGGAAGCACUAUUUCAAAAAUGUCAUAACAAUAAAUAAAUAAACAUCGAAGUUGUAUAUUU